rnacentral:sRNA from 1 species
GAACGUUAUGACAGAGAUGAUCAAUAUUUUUGGUUUUUGGAUGCACUCGGUCUGAGAAAGCCUUACCUCUAUGAAUACAGCCGCCUCAACCUUCAAAGCACUGUCAUGUCAAAGAGGAAGUUGACUUGGUUUGUCACAGAGGGCUUAGUAGAAGGAUGGGAUGACCCAAGAUUUCCAACAGUCAGGGGUGUCAGGCGUAGGGGUAUGACAGUAGAGGGAUUGAAACAGUUCAUUAUCACACAGGGAUCCUCUAGGUCUGUGAACAUGAUGGAGUGGGACAAGAUAUGGGCCUACAACAAAAAGGUUUGUAGACUCA